CCUUUUGAUUUUUAUUUAAGGUCUAAUCUGCCCACUGAGUAAUUAAAUGGCCGCGGUAUUUUGACCGUGCGAAGGUAGCAUAAUCAUUAGUUUUUUAAUUGAAAGCUGGAAUGAAAGAUUGAAUGAGAAAAUAGCUGUCUCAAAUUAAUUUUAUUAGAAUUUUAUUUUUAAGUUAAAAAGCUUAAAUGAUAUUAAAAGACGAGAAGACCCUAUAGAGUUUAAUAGUUAAUUUAAUUUUAAAUUAAUUGUUUUAAUGUAUUUAAUUUGAAUUAAUUAUUUUGUUGGGGUGACAAAAAAAUUAAAUAAACUUUUUUUUUAUUUAAAUACUUAUAAGUAAAUUAUUGAUCCAAAAUUUUUGAUUAUAAGAUUAAAUUACCUUAGGGAUAACACCGUAAUUUUUUUUGAGAGUUCUUAUCGAAAAAAAAGAUUGCGACCUCGAUGUUGAAUUUAAAAUUAAAUUUGGUGUAGAAGGUAAAAAUUUAGGUCUGUUCGACCUUUAAAACUUU
rnacentral:rRNA from 1 species